GUUGGUGGCAAUUAUCUCAACUGAAAAGCCAUGCAGUCGGCCCUGACAGAACAUAGCAGUCCCAAGGAGGAGGAAGUAAUCCUGGCAAGUUGGAGACCAGCAACCAGAGCAACAGAGACCCUGCCAUCACCACUCUACAAGGAUUCAGACCAGAUUGUACCUGCACAAAGGUGAAGCCAGUGUGGUCCUUGAGGCAGAAGAAUGUCGUACAAAGGAAGCGUCUCAGAUACUGCUGUGUAUGUGAAGGGGGAAGAACUUCCCAAGGAAAAGACAACAGUGGCUGCUGCACACCUUGUUGGUGGUCAAACCAAGCAAAGCUGUUGAAUCUUUCUGCGAGAUAUGUCCCUGUAUAUCAAAGGAGAAAGAGUCCUUUCUGGCUGGGCCCCAGGCCCACUGCUUGAUCAAAAAGGCUUUCCCUGAAGGCACUCAGGUCCCACUCUGGGUGUCCUUGACUUUUGCCUGCCUACAUUCCCUGGAAUAGGUUUGUCCUCAGUGCUGUUGGUACACAUCACCUUCCUCAGAUCCUCUCAGCUGGCAUGUGCCCUCAAUUUCAAGGGAAUGACUAACAACAUGAGUUCCCAUUACCUAUGACCACCAUGUUGGAAGAUGGGACACAGAGUCCUCCUUCUUCAAAGAUGCUUCAGGGAGACCUGUGGUCGUCUCAACCAGCCUGGGUCUCUUCCCAACCUGCAGCGCCACCAACUCCUGGUGAUCCGACCCAGGAUGGGCCGGUUCUCACCCUCCCCCUCUGUCCUCUGUAGAGGGCAGAGAUCCCAGCUGCUGGACUCUAAGAAAAUGACUUAACCUCUUAGCCUGUUACUUCAGCCACAAAAUUGUUAAAGGGCCUUCUACCGCAGGGGGUAGAUUCUGAUUCUGGCAAAAUGGUACUCAUGAAAUGGCACUUGGCAUUUACUUUUUACUGACCCUGAAUUGCCUUCCAGACACAUCUCUCUUUAGACCAAGGAGACCACAGAGCCCUGGCACAGCCAGAUCUCCAAACUGCCUGGUGGUUGUGUUCCCACAGGACCUGGAUGAGAAGGCAGAGCAGAGGCUGGUGGACCCCGCUGUGAACACUCUACUUGGGGAACUUCUAGCCAAGAGAGAAGGGGACACAGGCAGAGUCCUGGCUUUUAGUGGGCAAGGAGAGGCCCUGAGCAGGGGCGGGGGCAGCAGGGAAUGGCGCUAACUGAGGCUGCACCAUUGGAGUGGAAAUGCCUCAACACGCCCACCGUGUCCCAAGGUCAGAGGCAUAACAACUGGGUCUUUGUUACAGAGUUCAAAUGCCUCGCUCUCCACUCCUUCCAAAGCCAGCUUACAGGAUGCACAACACACCUCCCCUCCCCCACCUCAGACACCCAGCUUCCCUGAACUGGGACACCACUGUCCCAAGGAUCUGCAGUCUGGUCCUUCUGCUUUCUCCCCUCCAUCCACAUAGAUUCUCUGGUUAAACUGGUUGUACACUC